AUACUUCUUGGCCUUUUGGCUAAGCCAAAGUGUAGUAUCUGUAAUUUAAUAUCUGGUAUGUGGGAUAUAUGUCCACUUUAGUUUUAAAUUUAUUUUUAUGUAGAGGAUCUACU
rnacentral:snRNA from 1 species